UACGUAGGGGGCGAGCGUUGUUCGGAUUUACUGGGCGUAAAGAGCGCGUAGGCGGUUCGAUUAGUCGGAGGUGAAAUCCCUCGGCUCAACCGAGGACCCGCGUCCGAUACUGUCGAACUUGAGUGCAGGAGAGGAGAGCGGAAUUCCCAGUGUAGCGGUGAAAUGCGUAGAUAUUGGGAGGAACACCGGUGGCGAAGGCGGCUCUCUGGACUGUCACUGACGCUGAGGCGCGAAAGCUAGGGGAGCAAACGGG
rnacentral:rRNA from 1 species